CCCUCUACACUUUUAAAACUUUACCGUUGAAUAUCUUAUCAAAACACAAAGUCUCUGGUGGUUUAAUACUUAAACCGCGAAGUCUGCAACGGAGUUAAGGAUUCUACCGUUUUAUUUUUUUUCUUUUCAUCAACUUAGUGGUAGAAAUGCUAUUUUUUAGUACUGUUUUGUCAUUCACGGCACGUGGUGUUUAUUAUUUGGAAUUUCGAAACGGACAAGUUUAAGAAUUGGCAUUGUAGUUUCAAGGCAAACUGAGGUUUGGAGUCCACUCUUGUUCCUAUGAAAGUUAUUUUGAUGUUUUUGACGCGCGCUCGAGAUGUCAUGGAGGAAUGAAAUAUAUCGACUGAGCUGAGUAAAGCAACUGAAGCGCACGAUGCUCGAGGCAAUGGCGUAAUAUGUCAUGUGGGACCUGGAAAGACAAGUAGUUGGAGAUCUGACUGGAAUUCCAAGAAGCUUUAAAACCGAAUGCCAGAAAUGACUUUGGUAUCUCUGAUCAGCUCCCAUUCCAAACAACUUAGGAAAAGUUAACCACUCUGCUCCAUGAUCUUUGAUUACUUUAAGUGCUUCUUGUAACAUUGGCCUCUGCACUUGUUUGUGAAAAUGGUCAAUAGCUGCUGGGUCUUUCAAUGACAUCUUUACCUGUUGUGAUGUUA